ACUAGGUUCCAUGGCACACUAUUGUAGCCCCAGCUACUUAGGAGGCUGAGGUGGGAGGAUCACUUGAGCCCAGAAGUUCUGGGCUGUAGUGCACUAUGUCAAUCAGGUGUCUGCACCAAAUUUAGCAUCAAUGGUGACCUCCCAGGAGCAGGGAUCCACCAGGAUGCCUAAGGAGGGGAGAACUGACCCAGGCUGGAAACAGGCAAGUCAAAACUCCUGUGCUGAUCAGUAGUGGGAUCAAGACUGUGAAUAGCUACUAUGCUUCAGCCUGGGCAACACAGCAAGACUUCUAUCUCUU
rfam:Pan troglodytes isolate Yerkes chimp pedigree #C0471 (Clint) chromosome 6, whole genome shotgun sequence.